GGCUGAUCGUGCCCACCUGUGGCUACAAAAGGCUGGAGGUCCUUCCCUCAUUGGCUGCUGCUUAGUACUGAACAUGCAGUUUGCCCUUUGUGCCUCCCUCUUCGAUCAUUUAUUUCUUUACUUUCUAACAAUAUGAGUUGAGGAGACAGCAGAAUAACAAUAGAUUUUUAAAGCUGGCAGCUUCUUACACCAGACUGAGGCUGCUUCUGGUUCCAGUGCAAUGACCAGUUUGUUUUCCUUCCCUGUGGUAAUAAUUCCUGCCUAUAAAUCAAAGCUUCUCUCAUGAACUGUUUUGCUGAAGGAUCCCAGAUGGCAGGAACAGUCACCACCCAGGUGAAGUCAGAGGCUAUGAACUGCUUCCCACCAGCAUUUUCUGAGAUGAAUUUCAGAGCGUCCUCCUUCAGAUAUCUCAG